GAUUUCUGGCGAACCGUUGCGGCCCGUGGUCGUUUCGGCCGUGUGUGCCGUGCCGUGUUUGUCAUCCUUCCAGAGAGCUGCGUCUACCAUUUACUUGGCCGGACGUACGCGAUCUGGAUCUAUUACUUUGAAAAAAUUAGAGUGUUUAAAGCAGGCUUUCGCUAUGAAUACAUUAGCAUGGAAUAAUAAUAUAGGACUUUGAUUCUAUUUUGUUGGUUUCUAGGAUUGAAGUAAUGAUUGAUAGGGAUAGUUGGGGGUGCUAGUAUUCCGCGGCCAGAGGUGAAAUUCUUGGAUUCGCGGAAGACUAACUACUGCGAAAGCAUU
rnacentral:rRNA from 1 species